AUUGAACGCUGGCGGCAUGCCUUACACAUGCAAGUCGAACGGCAGCAUGAUCUAGCUUGCUCGAUUGAUGGCGAGUGGCGAACGGGUGAGUCAUACAUCGGAACGUGCCCUGUUGUGGGGGAUAACUAGUCGAAAGAUUAGCUACUACCGCAUACCACCUGCGGGUGAAAGUGGGGGACCGCAAGGCCUCAUGCUAUAGGAGCGGCCGAUGUCUGAUUAGCUAGUUGGUGAGGUAAAGGCUCACCAAGGCGACGAUCAGUAGCUGGUCUGAGAGGACGAUCAGCCACACUGGGACUGAGACACGGCCCAGACUCCUACGGGAGGCAGCAGUGGGGAAUUUUGGACAAUGGGCGAAAGCCUGAUCCAGCAAUGCCGCGUGUGUGAAGAAGGCCUUCGGGUUGUAAAGCACUUUUGUCCGGAAAGAAAUGGCUCUGGUUAAUACCUGGGGUCGAUGACGGUACCGGAAGAAUAAGGACCGGCUAACUACGUG
rnacentral:rRNA from 1 species